rnacentral:lncRNA from 1 species
GCAGACGGCGGAGAGCAGAGAGGGAGCGCGCCUUGGCUCGCUGGCCUUGGCGGCGGCUCCUCAGGAGAGCUGGGGCGCCCACGAGAGGAUCCCUCACCCGGGUCUCUCCUCAGGGAUGACAUCAUCCGUCCACCUCCUUGUCUUCAAGGACCACCUCCUCUCCAUGCUGAGCUGCUGCCAAGGGGCCUGCUGCCCAUCUACACCUCACGAGGGCACUAGGAGCACGGUUUCCUGGAUCCCACCAACAUACAAAGCAGCCACUCACUGACCCCCAGGACCAGGAUGGCAAAGGAUGAAGAGGACCGGAACUGACCAGCCAGCUGUCCCUCUUACCUAAAGACUUAAACCAAUGCCCUAGUGAGGGGGCAUUGGGCAUUAAGCCCUGACCUUUGCUAUGCUCAUACUUUGACUCUAUGAGUACUUUCCUAUAAGUCUUUGCUUGUGUUCACCUGCUAGCAAACUGGAGUGUUUCCCUCCCCAAGGGGGUGUCAGUCUUUGUCGACUGACUCUGUCAUCACCCUUAUGAUGUCCUGAAUGGAAGGAUCCCUUUGGGAAAUUCUCAGGAGGGGGACCUGGGCCAAGGGCUUGGCCAGCAUCCUGCUGGCAACUCCAAGGCCCUGGGUGGGCUUCUGGAAUGAGCAUGCUACUGAAUCACCAAAGGCACGCCCGACCUCUCUGAAGAUCUUCCUAUCCUUUUCUGGGGGAAUGGGGUCGAUGAGAGCAACCUCCUAGGGUUGUUGUGAGAAUUAAAUGAGAUAAAAGAGGCCUCAGGCAGGAUCUGGCAUAGAGGAGGUGAUCAGCAAAUGUUUGUUGAAAAGGUUUGACAGGUCAGUCCCUUCCCACCCCUCUUGCUUGUCUUACUUGUCUUAUUUAUUCUCCAACAGCACUCCAGGCAGCCCUUGUCCACGGGCUCUCCUUGCAUCAGGUAGGGGCUUUGCAGAGACCAUCGACGGGCUGACUUGAGUAAGAACACGAAUUAUGCAUGUGGCCAUUUCCAGAGCACUUUCUAUGUGAUAUGAACAUGUGAUUUUUAUGUAAUAUGUGUAUGUAAACGAGGCAGCCUCAUUUCCAGGUGAGGAUGCAUUUGGUAGUGUUGAUUUUUGUAAUUUAAAGAAGCUGAAAGGGAGAGAGGACCCGUGAGGACUGAACUCUCUGUCCCAUGGGGUAGGGCUUACAUUUACAUUAAAGAAACAGAAACUUGCUGGGAGGUGUAAGUAUUUGGUCACAUUGCUGGCAACAGAAGGGGUUGGAGUUGGACCCAGGGUGCCACGCUAGCUGCCCUCACCCCUUCUUCCCCUCUGGCCCAGAGUUAUACUAAGAGUCCUUUUAUUUCAAACCAAAUGUUUGACAAUGGGACAGUCUGUUUGAAAUCCCAGCUGCCUGGGGUGGUCUUGGGGGUCUGGGUGGCCCCAGUGCUGGUACCAUGUGCUGGCUUCACCUUUUAAUAACAGUGUGACCUUAAACAAGUCGCUUAACUACUCUAAGUUUCAGUUUCUUUCAUGGUCUAAAUGGAGAUUAAAACACACACACACACACACACACACACACACACACACACACCCCCUCGUGUAUCUACCCCACAGGGCGCUUUUGAAGACCAAAUGCUGUAACUACUAUGAAAGUGCUUUGUAAAUUGCUGUGGAAAGUGUGAGCUACUCAAGCACCCGAGGCUGUCCCUCCUUGCUCACAUGUCCAGCCCAAUUCUCCCUUAGUGAGAACAGCACUCAGUAGGUGCUGUGUGUGUUUGUGUUCAAUUAAGAAAUUCCAGAAUAAAUAAAAAUGAAUUAAUUCAACAAACAUUUUCUGGGGCACCGACAAUCUGCCCAGUGCACCAGGCUAGGUAUCUGAUACAAAGAUAAUGAAAACAGUCUCUUGGAACCUAAUUGGGGUCCUCAUUUGACCAGGAAUUUCUUUCGUCCCGUUUUAAGCCAACCAGUUUUGUCCGGACAAGACAAAAACAACUUGGGCUGCUUUAGAGAAGCCCAGCUCAGUGUAGACAAUAGCUGCCCAGCCUCUGAAAGGGGCUGAUUGGAUUAUGUGGCAAAUGGAGGUGCAAGGAUGACUUGGACGGUGACAAAUGAAGUGGGCGGAGACCUGCUUUGAGUUAAUCCAGGCUAUUAGGAGGGGACCUUUUGUCUUCCAGAGACUGGCAGGAGCUUUUACCAGUGGUUUUUACAUCCUUAAUGUUCAGGACGAAUAAUUUAUGGUCAGUGAAAAUCCAGGCCCCAGUGAGAUUCGAGUGGGCUGUAAAAUCGAGAGUCCUGCUCCCAGUGAGUAAUGGUAGUGAAUGUUUCUGUCACUUUUUGCAACCGUCCAUUCAUUUGAUCCUCACAACUCCCUGUCCUGAGCCAGGACCGGCCACUGCCACUCCCAGGGAAACAGAGGCUGUCAAGAGGCUCCACAGAUUGGGCCCCACUGGAUCAUUGAACCCCUGUUCCCUGAGUUCUAGAGGAAGAAUUGUACCUGUCUCAGUCCCGGCCACCUCCAGAAGGCCUCCCUCUGCAUUUCUGACUUUGCUGUGCCGGCAGCCUGGAGCCUCCCAGGUCCCUGCUGUCAUCUUUUCUAGCCACUACAGUCUCUGUCUUUCCUUUCACAGCCAAGCUUCUUGAAAGGCCUGUCUACACUUGCUGUCUUCCUUCCUCACCUCCAAUUUCCUCUUCAACCCACUGCUUCCUGACUCGCUCUACUCCGUGGAAGCACGCUCACAAAGGUAAAGACUUUUCUGUGGCUUAAUCCUUGUCAUGUUUUCGGCUCAUGGACACAAGGACACAUUUUCAUGCCUUCUCUCACAGGGCUCUGCGUCUCCGGUUCACUUCUGUGUCUUUACACUCCCUUCACAGAGACACUUGCUCCCCCUUCUCUCGUUCUUAGCAUCCCCUAGGAACUUGCACACCCAGGUCUCUCGACUUCUGGACCUGCUUCUUACCAUGCCGUCUUAAGCAGUCAGGAGUCGCUGCCUGGGUUCGAGUCCUAGUUAAAUUACUUAGUGCUGAGACCUUGGGGUAGGUAAACUUUUCCAAGCCAGGUUUAUCUCAGUUUCAAAAUAGGGUUAAUCGUCUUUAUCUGGCAGGUCAGGUGGGAUGUCUCACAGGUAAGCACCAGAUGCCAUUUGAAAGGCUUGAAGCAAAGUCAAUAAAGCAUUCAUGGGAAAAUACAACUGGAGGCACCACUAGAUUUUCGUAUACAUUAGGUUCCCACGGGGAGGACCGAAGAGAGAAGAAAGAAGUGGAAAGGGAGGAGCGUGCAGGAGAGACAGGAGAAGAGAAUAACUAAACAAAGACAUUAAAGACAAAAAAAAAGUAGGAAAGGGAGACUUAGAAAAUAUUAAAAGCCACCAAAAACACAUCCAAAGACGGUUUCCCCUUACGUUAGUUGGGCUAAAAGAAAGCAAAUGGGAAGAAGGUUUUAAAUUGAUUAUCCCAGUGACAAAUCCCAGGAAGCUUUCACAUCAAAUCACCCUAUUCUGGGUUUUUAACUCCUUCCAUCGAGUUUAACCUCUUUACCUCCCACAUCCUGGUAAACCCUGCCCCCUCCCUACCGCCCCCUUUGCUGGUGAUUAAAUCCUGAAGGUACACGAAGUAUUUCAGUGAAUGAAUGGCUAACAGAAAAGGGCCUCCCCUCCCCCUUACCCUGGCGGUGUUUUUCAGUUUUAUUCCACUUUCCGCCCUUUUCCCUUAAUGAACACAGGGCUAAUCUCGGGCCUUGUCGAAGGAAGAGGCUGCAGACGUUAAUGAGGUUAGCUGCUGGAUUCCAGUAUUCGUCGCAUAAGGAUCCUUCUUUGUCUGCGAAGGAAAAACACACUGAUUAUCAUAAUGAGGUGAACUGGCCACCGCCGGGCCGGGGCGAUGUGGCUUCUUAAGCCACACUUCUAAUUUUGGUGAUGGAGCCGACAUUUCUUUGGCUUCUCAUUUAAGUCUUUGCCUCUGUCCCAGUGCGAAGUCCAUUCAGCGGGGUUGAAAGUUGCAGGCAGCUUUGGGAAGGGGGGCGUCGGACAGGGUUGCAUUGUAGAAAGUGGCUUUGUUCGAUCCUUCGCACAGAUGCAAAUGGCCAGAGCAUUCAUUCCCUUUCUUCAAGAGCUGAGGACUGGGGGGGCCACUGGUGAUCAGUUCCCAACUCUAGCUCUCCUCUGACUCAUCUCAGGACCCAUUGAGGACAUCCAAAACUCACUCAAGAUCACCAAGUGGUAGGAAAGUACUAACUCCUGGGCAUAGCCCUAGGGGAGUGACUACAAUGUGAAUACUCAUGGAAUGCCUAGCCAGGUGAAGAAGUGAAUGCAUGUUGGCAUCCCAGAGGGACCCCCCUUAAGAGGGCAUAGUUUGGGGUUCAGAUUUGACUCCAGCAUACUGUUGAAAUUGGGCACAGGGGGCUAGUGAUUAGUCAGGAUCAAUCAGUGGAGAGGAGAUUAAAACUCACAUCUGGGAGUCCGGAAUCAGAACUUGUAGUUCUUUUUUUUGAAAUGGAGUCUCGCUCUGUCGCCCAGGCUGGAGUGCAGUGGCGUGAUCUCGGCUCACUGCAACCUCUGCCUUCCGGGUUCAAGCAAUUCUCCCACCUCAGCCUCCUGAGUAGCUGGGAUUACAGGCGCCCACCACCACAGCCGGCUACUUUUUGUAUUUUUAGGAGAGACGGGGUUUCACCAUGUUGGUCAGGCUGGUCUUGAACUCCUGACCUCAUGAUCCACCUGCCUUAGCCUCCCAAAGUGCUGGGAUUACAGGCGUGAGCCACCAUGCCCAGCCCUAUAGUAGUUCUUCUUUUGCCCCUUAAUAUCUUCACCCACAUGUCCUGUACCCUGCCUGAACCCUCCUCCUCUUUUUGUUCUGAUCUUUGAGCUCCCUAGAGCCCAUAAUUCUUUAGAGCAGGUAUGUCCCGAGUCUGAAACAUGCCCUUAUUUGUCCCAAGCUCUGGACAUUUCUCACCCCAAGGCGGAUCAAUCAUGAUUAAAUCACUCCAAUUAAACUUUAGGCUCCAGUCAGACCUUCAGCCAAAUGGAAAAAAAAACUAGGGGAUAAGGGAGGUAGUUGGAGCAAGAAAAUGUUAUUAGUUGAAACCUUACGGGACCUUCCUCCCUUAGUGAGUCUGUUGGCUAAAGGUUCUCUGGCUUCGUGAAUUAGAAUCGGAUACUGUUUCCAAGUUAGCAAAACCAACUCUACCCCAGCACCCCACGAGGAAGAAUGUGGAAGGAUCUCCCAUUGGCCGGUUGGGGCAAAAGCCUGAGGCAAUCUUUCAUCCCCUUUUGCCAAGGCGAGACUUUCCCAGUGACGGUGAUGUAGUUGGCCACUCUGACUAUGGGUGGACUCGGGUGUAGACCUCUGAAGCUGAGAUCACACGAAAACCUGGCCUCCCCGCCAUGUAGCUGUUGGAGAGUAGAAAAAUAGAGCACGCCUGAUGUUUCUAAAUGAGAAGACUUUCAAUAGUAAUGAAGAAUCCAUGGCACUCUCCUCACCCUCAAACACAUGGCAGUCAUUCACAUACAGGCCCCAAAGCCACUGUUAGUGCUGCAGUAGCUCCUGUGGACAUUGGAAAGCCCGGAGAGGGCGUGGAAGAAAUCAGCUGGCCCCCGGCAGGUUCUCUGGGGUUUUGUGCCCAAGGCUCCUGGAGCCCUAAAAACUUUCAAAAGUUAACUCCCCACGUCCCCAUCCUGCUUGGGUUUCUGGACUUUUCUGAGGCACCGGCAGAGGGGUCUCGUUGCUCCCUUGAGUGUAGGGGCAGCCCUUUAACCUGGCUCCUUGAGUCCCUGCUUUUUCUGCUUCUGUUGCCUUCUUCCUCGUCUUCCUCUCUCUCAAUAUCUCCCUCUCUUUGUCCCUCCCCAGUUCCUGACCUGGCCAUCCCGGGGUGCCCUUGACCAGCCCCGUGUCUCCUCAGGGUGUCCCAGCACCAGCCUGGCACAGAGUGGGGCUCAGUUAGAGUAUGUGGGAUGUUGGUUUCGCCAGGUGAGUGAAUGAAAGGACUCGACCACCACAGCUGAGCCACUAGCUGGGCCAUGCGAAGAGUUCUAGGUGCAAAGGCUGGAGGGUGGAAUUCAUUUUUGAGAGGUGUGUGAGCAGCUUCCGACCCCUGCCCCAUUUGAACGGGGGCCUUGCUGGUCGCGUCCCUGCAUUCACCCGCGCGGCCAUCCCGUCAUCCAACAGUUGAUCCUAACUGAGCACGCCCACGGCCCUGGUCUGGCCUGGGCACCGGCCACCGUAGCCCAUCCCUUGAUGGCCUCUGUGUCCCCAGGAGGGCGGGCCGGGGGGUUGCCCAGGGGCUGGAGCAGUGGACUGUGGCUCCAUAGAGGUAGGCCGGAGGGUGUGAGGGCAGAUUCAAGCUAUCCCCAGGGCUCUGCUCUGGUCGGAGCCAGCCCCUUCUCCCUCUCUGCCUUCCCCGCCCCAUUCCUGAUGCUGAACUGUUCUGGACCCCUGGCCCUGAGUCUCUCAGGACCAAAGUGGGCACGGGAACAGCUGUAGUGUGUGCCCCCCCGGGCUUUGGCCACAGGUCUCCCUCUCGAGGUGUGGUUGUGACUGCGACCCUUCCCUUGCCGUGAUGCCUUCCUCCCCCGGGGCUUGGUCCAGCUCCUUCACUCUCUAGCAGCUGCUGGGGCCCACCUCCCAUGCCGAGGACCAGCAGGGGAAACCUCCAGGGAGCAUCUGCAGGCUCUGCUUCUGCCCGGCUGCUGGCUUGCUCUCCCUGGUGGCUCUCCAGCGGCCAGCUUCCUCACCCACCCGGCACUCCGCUUUGCUCUGUCUCCUGAGGUGGGCCUGACCAACCUCCCCUUCUCUGCCUCAGUCCCUGGGCUCCAGGGCUCAGCUCCACAGCCCUCUGCCUAGCAGGCUGGUUCUCCCUGCCAAGCCCAUACCUGUGGUCACCUGGCCCUCCUGUGGUCUGAGUACCACUCCCCUGCCCCAGGAGCCACUCCCACUCCAGCUGCCUGUUUCCAGCAGGUUCCCAGUGCCCCCGACAAGCCCCUGCUGGUGUCUCCAUCUCCUGCCAAGCAUCCUCCAGUGCCUCCUCCUGUGGGCCUGGCCUCAGGGCUAUGGACAGACUCCUGUCCCAUCCCAGAGACCCCUCGUGAUCGUGCCCUGGCACGUGGGCCGUGGCCCGGCUGGGUCGGCUGAAGAACUGCGGAUGGAAGCUGCGGAAGAGGCCCUGAUGGGGCCCACCAUCCCGGACCCAAGUCUUCUUCCUGGCGGGCCUCUCGUCUCCUUCCUGGUUUGGGCGGAAGCCAUCACCUGGAUGCCUACGUGGGAAGGGACCUCGAAUGUGGGACCCCAGCCCCUCUCCAGCUCGAAAUCGGCAGACUAGGAUGGAAGUGCCCUGUGAGCUGGGGGGCCCUUCAAAGGGCCAAGGAGAAAACGCAGGCCGAGGGACCAGCCUUCCAAAUGGGCUUCAAGCUCCAAUGACCUCCGCUCGCCCCCUCGAAAUGUCUGGAAAACAUAAUGGGCAGAUUUUCUGUCUUCAAAGUUUCCGGCUAAACCUCUUCAAGUUCUUUAUUGUUUGGGACUGAGACACUCAGCCAUGUUAAUGGGUAGUUUCUUUUGUAUUUGCCUUGAAAGGCCAAAAUAUUUUUAUAUUGCCACAGACAAAGCCACCUAUUUAAAAAUGAACUCCAUGUCCGUCGUUUCCCACCAGGAGACUAUGUACCAUGUGUGUGUCUCUAUGUAUUCUGGGGUCUUGAAACAGGUUUCUCAUGGGGAUGGUCAUUCACCACGGUCCAGAGGGGCAGAACAGGCGGCGCUUGCCUUGCCCAGGGGGCCUGGGGAACGUGGGCCCUCAUCUCAGAUCUGCCCCCAGUAUGUUUAGGACGCGAGCCCCAGAAGGAUCUGGGAGUAAACUUAACAUUCACUGUGUCUCUGCUCUGCAUCCGCCAUUUGUGUGUGUUUCUGGACUGUGGGCUGUGUGUACCUUGGUUGGUGACUCAGUGAGAAGAAGCAGGAAUGCCAAAGAUACUGUGAAUGUUCUGAGUUUUGUUGCUGUUGUUGUUGAGAGGUUGUUUCACUGGUAUCUAUUGCAUUGUAUAAUAAAUGACCAGAUGAAUGAAUGAGUGAAGCAAGAGAGAAUGAAUAAACAAGUAAAUAGGUAAAGAAGUAAGCAAGCCAGGAUGAGAGUGUGUGUACACAAGACCAUGGUUCAUCCGCUUUGAUGGCUAGGCAAUCAAUAUAUAAAUAGAAAAAAACCAGUGAAUCACUAAGUAAUAGGGCAACACACAAAGCGAUAUCAGGUGAUUAUGGACUAAGGGGUAUGUGUAACUCAAAUAUAUGCCUCUGACAUUUGACAAUGAAAAAGAACCUAAAUGAAAGAAAGAAUGGAUGUAUGAGUAGUGAAGUGCAGAAUGAGACAUAGAUUUUGAGGCCCGUCAAAAUGAAAAGAUGCAAGUUAGGGAACAAGUGAUCAAAAGGGAGAAGGGAAAGGUUUUUUUUAAAAAACCAAAACAACAAAGAAAGGUUAAAAAAAAAAACAGACUAGAGGAUGAGUAAUGAGUAACUCUGUAAGGAGGACCAUGUCAGACUAUUGUAAGCUAAGCAUUAGGACUGAUACAAAUAAUAUAUGCUCCUGGCAUAGAAAAAUAAACCACAGAGAACGAGUUCAAAGAAUAGCAAAGAAAGAAAGAGGACCCAGUGGGCGAAAGAUGAGAGUGUACUUUUACCAAAAGUUAUCUAAGCCUGAGCACUUGAAGUCUGCACAUAAAUAAAUAAAUGACAAAAGAAAGAAAAAAAGGCCAAAAAGUCUACAUUGCGUGUGUGGAUGGAUGAAUGAGCAGUGGGAGUGCAGCGCCAGGUGACAAGAUGUUGUGAGGGGUUUUGAGUCAUCCAGUCCUGGGCACUGAGGUCUGUUAGAUGAAAGGAUAUGAGAAAGGUAAUAUUGGUAAAUAAAGAAAUAGGAAACAAUGUAACAAAUGUUAAGUACAGAAAUACAUUAAUGGGUGGUAAAUAAAGAUGUAAAAGAAGGCAAUGCGAUCGAUGGUGGCAAAAGAUCAUCACAGAUUAAGGGCUAUGGCUGGUCCACUUCUAGAAAACCACAGGCUGUCCAUUAAAUAAUGAACAUCUAAGUGAACAAGUCAGUGAGUACCUAAAUAGACAAGGAUGAGGUGAAUGAGAAGACAUGGCCCCAUGGGUCCUCCUGAUGAGGGUGUUGGGGUCCCCCCUGGGCACCCCAGCUGCAUGAAAAUGAAGGACAGGAGGUAUGGAAAGCUAUGACAGAAGAGAGAAAGGAACGGUAAAAAGAAAUAACAACCAAAUGGAUAAAUGGGUAGAUCCACGAGAAGAGUUAGGCUAGGACUUGUCAUAAGGGCACCUGACUCCACUAAUAGAGGAAUAAAUGCCUAAUAAAAAGAGAGCAAGCAGGAAGGAAGGAUGCUAUGAAUGCAGGAAGGAAGUAAUGAGUGAGACGUGGAACCGCACGGCCAAGGAUGGACGUUUGCGGGUGGCUUUUUGAUGCGUACAGCCAAGCCACUCCAUGGCAAUGAGCUCCGAAGACAAAGUGCAAGAGAGAAUGAGUGAGAGAGUGAGAGAGAGAGAAACAAUAAAAAAUGGGAAGAAAUGUAAAAAGGAAGAAAGGAAGAGAGGUAAUAUAUUAAGGAAUAAAUACAUGCAUGCAGAUUUAAGACAGAGCCAUGCUAGAACAGGAAUGAAAGGCUGUGUGAACCAAGCAGACCGCUUAAUUGGCACCAGUGCUGCUGGUAUGGUCAAUCACCUACUCAACUAAGGAACGGCUCAAAGCAUACACAUGGGAGGGAGGAGUGGGGCCACAGAGAGAGGGCCCAUUAGUUGCAGAUUACGAUGUAUCCAGUUAGGUGCACCUGCCUUCGAGAAGUGUAAAAAUAAGUAUUUACAUAGAAAGAAAGACUGAAUGGAUGCACGGUGAAUGCAUGAAUGAUUGAACGACAGAAAAGAUUUGCAUUGACCGAUGAGGAGGGCAUUGUAGACAGGGAUGAGGGUCAUUGAUCCUGGGUGCAGAUCUCCAAAAGAAUGACAGAAAGAAAGAGGGAGUGGUGGAAAGAAACAAUAGGAUGGGAAAAAAUGAAAAUAGAAAAAAGGAAGUGAAAGAGAUAAUAAAUAAUUAGAUCAAAUAAGUUGAUGAAAGGGGACUGGUUUAGCACAAGCCAUCCACAUUAAUUCAAACCUGUGGCUCUGAAGUUUGUUUUUUAAAUGACCACAAGUGUAAGACUGAAUGAAAGAAUAAAUGCGUGCAUUCCAUAGGAUGCAAGAAAAGGAGUGAGGAAUGGGAAAAUUGGAAGAACGAGAGAGGGAGAGAUGUAAGAAAAGAAAGGAAAAGUGAAGUAGGCAUAUGAAAGAAAAGGCACUUCUUGGACAAGCACUGAAAUAUAAUGAGACAGUUUUACCCAUUAAAUAUAAUAAACAGUAAACGUUGAGGUUCAUCAAUAAAAGCACAGAUACCUGAAUAGAGGAGUGACCUGAAUAGAAUUCGUUCAGCCGAACGAAUGAGAAUGGAUGAUUUUCACUAUCCUGUGCACUCAAGGCCCAAAAGAGAAAGCAAGAGAGGAGAGAAUAUGGAAACGUAUGACAGGAUGUAUAUAAGCAAUACAAACAUAUUGAAUGAAUAAAUAAAGACAUAAAUAUGUGGGAGAGUGGACCACGCAAGGACAAAAAGAGGAGAGAAGGCAGCAAGAAUUAUGACUAAUUCAAAACUGGGUUCCUGAGAUAGUUAAAUAAAUCCUGCACCAAAUCCCCAGGGGGAGAAAUUAACAAACAAAAGACAGCCCCACACGGACCAGUGUGCAGAAGGCUCCAGGAACCGCAGAUUAUGGUUAAUCCAAUUCUGUGCACCUGAGGUCCAUAAAUAAAAGAAUAAGUAUUGAAAUGAAAGAAUGACAGAAAGAAUGAAUGGACACAUGAACGACUGAAUUAGAAAUGGAAAUGCCUGGCACAGCCAGGAAGGAGCUGCCCAUGGGAUUGUCAUUCAUCUCACUCUGGGCACCUGAGGUCCAUAAGCGUGAAAAGAGGCAGGAAGAGAAGUGUCAGGGAGUCAAAGAUAGAGCUAAGGAAAGGCAAAAAUGAAACUAAAUGAAAGCGAAAGGGAAAAUAAAGAAAAACCAAUAAAAAAGAGAACGAAUACGUGGGUGUAUCUGUAAGAGUAGGAUCUGUUAGGAUUAGUCAUAAGACUGUCAGUAAUCCUGAAGAUGGAUGAGAUAAUCCAGGCCCAGGUUCCCAGGGGGAGGGAAAAUGGAGAAAAUAUAAAAAGAUGUGAAAAAGGAAAAAGGAAAGGUAAUAAACAAACAACCAAAGUGAUAAAUGGAUAGUUAAGGGAGGUUGUCUGAACAGGGAUUAUAAUUAGUUUACAUACAUACUCCUUAAACAGAUAAAUACAUUACACCUUUCAAAGAAUAAAUGAAAAAUAGAGAGACAUACCUGGCUCCAAAACAAGGCUGUAUCUUCUGCCACUGUAAUAAAAUAGAUGCAAUUGAGGUUCAUAAAUAAAAGAAUAAAUACUUAAACGUGAAAGGUGACUAAAUGCGGGGAAGAAAGAUUGCAAAUAAAUACAUGGGCCAAAGAUGUUUGGUUUGCCCAUGGAGUUUUAAUUAAAAAAAUUAAUAAGGAAAACAAAUACCCAAAAUAAGGAAGACUGACAAAUGAGUGAGUGGAUGAGAGAGUGAAUGGUGCUUGACGUAGGAGCAGUAGUGCUUUAGGGACCAGCAUGAAGGUGGUGACCGGGAGCCCUGAUUCAUGGGAUUCUGUCCACCUGACUUUAUAAGAACCAAGAAUGGCUGGGAAUGGUGGCUCACGCCUGUAAUCCC